AGAAUAUAGAAAAUAAAAGUUUGUGAAUUAUGAAAUUGCAUGCCAGAAAUUAUUGUCAUUGUAUUACUUGAGGAGAUCAUGCCUACAAUCUUAACCUAAGAACCUGAAGAUAUGUUAAAAUAAUUAGAAUAUGGUCUAUCCCCAAAAAAUAUUGGUUUUGAAAUGGUAAUCUCACCUAAUUACCAAUACUAAAAUGCACAACAAAUGUUUGGAAACAGUAUAACUAGAACUUCUUUUGUGCUGGAAAUACCAACUACCUCCAUCAUACCUAGAUAGAUAGAUACUCUUUCUAAAUUAUCUCUGUUUCAUAUGCCUUCAGAAAAUAACAAGAACAACAAAAAUAAUCAAUUAUUUUUAAAGGAUUCUUGGAGGAAGAGUGGUAGCUUUUUAGAGCUUUGUUCCAGAAAAACAUAAAAACAAUAAUCAGUGCUUAAUAUUUGUUUGCUCAAUUCAUUGUUUGUCCCUAAACACAUCUGCAGUCAGUGGUGUGUUCAAUUAGAUUCAGCCAAAUUAACAUUCCUUUACUGUUUCCAUUGCCAUUGUGAUAGGAGGCAGUCUCAGUAGUUUCAAUGUGUGCAUGUGAUAAAUAUAAGGCACCUUCAUUUGUAAUCAGGACAAAAAUGAUGUCAUACUUCAGUCACAAUCUGUCAGUAUAGUAAUUCCUAUGUGGGAGAUGAAUGAGCAUAGUCUUUUGAAAUAUUUACUAAAAUUGGCAUGUGAUUUGAAGUUUUCAUAUAAAGUAUUUCCUCCCAAAUAUGUUAAACUCAUUUUAGUUAAAUAUUUCCUAGAUUGAAUAAUUUCCCAUUUUUAAGAAAUUUUUG
rnacentral:lncRNA from 1 species